AGAGAAUUGCUUUAAAUGUUAAUAAACUAAUAAAUUAAUUAAUUUCAUUGGACCCUUACACAUUGUACAAAUGGAAGUUGGAAUCGAGGACUGACUGCAUAUCGAGUUUGAGUACAAUAAAAGCAAGUAUCACCUAAAAGAUGUUAUCCUUGGGAAAAUAUAAUUUCUUCUGGUGAGAAUCAAGAUAAAGAAAUGGAUCUUGAGAUCAGACGACAAGAAUCAGUUAGAGCAGGAGCUAAUACUCACGUACAACAAUUUCUAAGAAUGCUAUGCGGGUCAGUUCUCACCAAACAAAGAGAAGGAAGAUGAGAGCGAUAAAGAAGUUUUCACUCUGUCAAUUUGUCAAAUAAUCCAAGGUUUUUAGCUUCUGCAUUUAUGGUUUAAAGAUAAGAGAAAAUUCUUUGAUUUGGAACUAAGUUCCUUUGAUUUGGUCUCUCUUCAAGUAAAUAUUGUAAAUGUAAACGCACAAUGUAAGAUUUUUAUCUCUUCUAAAAUAACGAUUCCUAUC